AAAUAAUGCUUCACAUAUUGGAUUAAAAUAUAACUACAAAAUAAAUUAAGUAAUCAAGUUAAUCGCAAAGAAGUGGAAAAAAUCUAUUUUGACUUACUGCACUUUAUAACUUUCACAUAAUACAUUAUAAUACCAAAUCAGAAUUUGAAUAUGCCAUAGUGAAAUAUACUUUCACUUACAAUUUGGAAGAUCCUCUAUGUUAAAAUGAUAUUCAUACCGAUAUUUCCAAUUGCAUUUCAAAAUACCAAUAUUUUGGUAACAGUGAAAAAUAAAUUAACGCUUCACAUAUCGGAUUAAAAUAUGACUACAAAAUAAAUUAAGUAAUCAAGUUAAUUGCAAAGGAGUG
rnacentral:lncRNA from 1 species